GAGGAGAACAACAUUGAACUGCUAAUCCAAUACUCCAGAAUUAACUCUCUGGUCCCCUUA
rnacentral:tRNA from 1 species